CACGUAGGGUGCGAGCGUUGUCCGGAAUUAUUGGGCGUAAAGAGCUCGUAGGCGGUGUGUCGCGUCGGCCGUGAAAACCUGCAGCUUAACUGUGGGCUUGCGGUCGAUACGGGCAUCACUGGAGUUCGGCAGGGGAGACUGGAAUUCCUGGUGUAGCGGUGAAAUGCGUAGAGAUGCGGAGGAACACCGAUGGCGAAGGCAGCCCCCUGGGCUAAGACUGACGCUGAGGCACGAAAGCGUGGGGAGCAAACAGG
rnacentral:rRNA from 1 species